UACGUAGGGUGCGAGCGUUGUCCGGAUUCAUUGGGCGUAAAGAGCUCGUAGGCGGUUCAGCAAGUCGGGUGUGAAACCUCCAGGCUCAACCUGGAGACGCCACCCGAUACUGCUGUGACUUGAGUCCGGUAGGGGACCACGGAAUUCCUGGUGUAGCGGUGAAAUGCGCAGAUAUCAGGAGGAACACCGGUGGCGAAGGCGGUGGUCUGGGCCGGCACUGACGCUGGAGGAGCGAAAGCGUGGGGAGCGAACAGG
rnacentral:rRNA from 1 species